UGGGGAAUUUUCCGCAAUGGGCGAAAGCCUGACGGAGCAAUACCGCGUGAGGGAGGAAGGCUUUUGGGUUGUAAACCUCUUUUGAUUGGGAAGAAGAACUGACGGUACCAAUCGAAUCAGCAUCGGCUAACUCCGUGCCAGCAGCCGCGGUAAUACGGAGGAUGCAAGCGUUAUCCGGAUUUAUUGGGCGUAAAGCGUCCGCAGGUGGCUUAUCAAGUCUGCUGUCAAAGCGCGGAGCUUAACUCCGUACAGGCGGUGGAAACUGGUAGGCUAGAGUCUGGUAGGGGUUGCGGGAAUUCCCAGUGUAGCGGUGAAAUGCGUAGAUAUUGGGAAGAACACCGGCGGCGAAAGCGCGCAACUGGACCGGAACUGACACUCAUGGACGAAAGCUAGGGGAGCGAAUGGGAUUAGAUAC
rnacentral:rRNA from 1 species